CUCUGUACAAUUGGAGAAGCUAGAAAAGAUAUCCUUGGUUAUGUGUAGUAUUGGUCAAGCUUUCAGCAACUCUGCUAUCUGGAUGCCAAAUGUAGUGGAGAUCAACAUUGACUACUGCAAUGAUUUGGUGGAAUUACCUAAUGGAUUCUGUGAUCUUGUCCGGCUGAAAAAGCUCAGCAUCACCAAUUGUCACAGACUGUCAGCAUUGCCAGAAGACUUGGGGAAUUUGGAGAAUUUGGAGGUGCUAAGACUUAACUGCAUUGAAUUGUUAGAGUUGCCAGACACGAUCGGGAGGCUUCAUAAGUUGAGGAUUCUUGACAUAUCUGAAUGUUUAAGCAUAACAAAACUGCCAGAACAGAUCAGUGAGUUGAAUAGUUUAAGAAAUCUCUGCAUGAUUGACUGCUCAAGUUGUGAAUUGCCAUGGUCAGUUGUGAACCUUGUCCACCUAAUGGAAGUUAUAGGUGAUGAAGAAACGGCCAAUUCAUGGAAAAAUUUUGCGUCUUUCCUCCCAAAUCUGGCAAUAAAGGUGCCUAAACUCUAGAAGUUACAAUCAAUUUCAAUUUUGAAUGAGAUUGAUUGGGAAUUAUAUCUAUCCCAUGAGUAGGAACUAUUUCUAUCCCUGCAUUUUGUUAUUAAAUUAAACAAAGUUAUAACUUUUCUUGAAUU
rnacentral:misc_RNA from 1 species